rnacentral:rRNA from 1 species
CACGGAGUUAGCCGAUCCUUAUUCUUACAGUACCGUCAAGUUACUACACGUAGUAAUGUUUCUUCCUGUACAAAAGCAGUUUACAAUCCAUAGGACCGUCAUCCUGCACGCGGCAUGGCUGGUUCAGAGUUGCCUCCAUUGACCAAUAUUCCUCACUGCUGCCUCCCGUAGGAGUCUGGUCCGUGUCUCAGUACCAGUGUGGGGGAUCUCCCUCUCAGGACCCCUAAUCAUCGUCGCCUUGGUAUGCCGUUACCACACCAACUAGCUAAUGAUACGCAUGCUCAUCUUAUACCGAUAAAUCUUUAUUAUUAAAAUGAUGCCAUCUCAAUAAACCAUGGGGCAUUAAUCCAAAUUUCUCUGGGCUAUUCCCCUGUAUAAGGUAGAUUGCAUACGCGUUACUCACCGUGCGCCGGUCUCAAGAUAGCAAGCUAUCUCUACCCCUCACUUGCAUGUGUUAGGCCUGCCGCUAGCGUUCAU